AGCGAACGCUGGCGGCAGGCUUAACACAUGCAAGUCGAGCGCCUGUAGCAAUACAGGAGCGGCAGACGGGUGAGUAACGCGUGGGAACGUACCCUUUGGUUCGGAACAACACAGGGAAACUUGUGCUAAUACCGGAUAAGCCCUUACGGGGAAAGAUUUAUCGCCGAAGGAUCGGCCCGCGUCUGAUUAGCUUGUUGGUGAGGUAACGGCUCACCAAGGCUACGAUCAGUAGCUGGUCUGAGAGGAUGAUCAGCCACACUGGGACUGAGACACGGCCCAGACUCCUACGGGAGGCAGCAGUGGGGAAUAUUGGACAAUGGGCGCAAGCCUGAUCCAGCCAUGCCGCGUGAGUGAUGAAGGCCCUAGGGUUGUAAAGCUCUUUCGGCGGGGAAGAUAAUGACGGUACCCGCAUAAGAAGCCCCGGCUAACUUCGUGCCAGCCGCCGCGGUAAAAC
rnacentral:rRNA from 1 species